rnacentral:tRNA from 1 species
CGGGGUGUAGCUCAGUUGGCUAGAGCACUAGUUUUGGGAACUAGAUGCCGGAGGUUCGAGUCCUCUCACUCCGACCA